rnacentral:lncRNA from 1 species
AGGGCGCCAGGCUCCGCGGCGUGGGCCGCCGCGCCCGCCCCAGAGGUCGUUUCCCCUGCAGUUUCCAACAUGGCAGGCAGGCAGGUUUUAUAGACAUGGACAAGAAGUCUGCACACAGAAGUUCUGAGGAUGCCAGGACCGGCAAAAGUGGAGGUAAGAAUCUUACUUGCUUUAAGAACUUUUGAGUAACUUAAUGUACGUUUCAUAAACCAUUUUGUUUCUCUCUACUUGUGGCUAAUAUUUGAGAGAAUAAUCGUGUUGCACUUUGUAUCAAUCUAAGGUAAACACAAACAAAAGAAAAGAGAAAAGCAAAACCAAGAACACCACCGAUCCCGACAUAGGUCAACAUCUCAUUCUUCAGAUGACUGUGUGUUUCCUUCUUCUGUAUCAUCUUCAGGAAGCCAAACGGAUUCAAGUCUAGAAGGUGCUGCCAAGGGAAGAAUUAAGAGAAAGAGAGGAAAGAAAAGGAGUAAACGGAGAAAAGAAAGAAAGGUAACUGGGGAUAAUUUAAUACAGGAAGAAAAUUUAGCUAUCCGAGUAUUCUGCGCUUUCUUGCUAAUAAAGGAAAACAGCCUACACGGGACUUUGCAGAGCUGGAAGGAACGAGUGGUGAACAUGCCGUUAACAUGGAGCUAAUCGAAUAGUAUCCUUUUUCUUUUCAAAUACUGUAAUCGAAGUUUCACCUUCUCAGGUGUCAGUUACCUGAAGCACACUGUGGUCCGAACCUACUAAAUGGAAGAAUUCCAAAGAUAGACCAGUCGUAAGUUUUCACUUUUGUCCAUUCUGAGUAGUGUGAUAAAACCUCACGCCAUCCUACUCCGUCCCACUCUGGAUGGGAAUCAUCUUUGUCCAGCAUAUCCACGCUAUAUAUGCUACCCACCCCUGGGUCACCUAGUAGCCAUCUCCGUUAUUGGAUCAUCAGCUGUCACAGGACUGUAGUUCUUGUGGUCAGGUACCCUUAUUUUACUUAAAAUGGCUCCAAAGCCAAAGAGUAGUGAUGCUGGCAAUUUGGAUAUUCUCUUACUGUGGCUGAUUUAGAAAUUAUAGGAGUUCCCGUCGUGGCGCAGUGGUUAACGAAUCUGACUAGGAACCAUGAGGUUGCGGGUUCGAUCCCUGGCCUUGCUCAGCGGGUUAACGAUCCGGCGUUGCCGUGAGCUGUGGUGUAGGUUGCAGACGCGGCUCGGAUCCUGCGUUGCUGUGGCUCUGGCGUAGGCCGGUGGCUACAGCUCCGAUU